rnacentral:rRNA from 1 species
UACAGAGGGUGCGAGCGUUUAAUCGGAGUUACUGGGCGUAAAGGGCGCGUAGGUGGUUGGAUAUGUGUGAUGUGAAAGCCCCCGGGCUUAACCUGGGAAGUGCAUCGCAAACUAUUUAACUAGAGUAGAUGAGAGGGUGUCGGAAUUUCCGGUGUAGCGGUGAAAUGCGUAGAGAUCGGAAGGAACGUCAAUGGCGAAGGCAGGCACCUGGCAUCAUACUGACACUGAGGCGCGAAAAGCGUGGGGGAGCGAACAGG